rnacentral:rRNA from 1 species
AGAGUUUGAUCAUGGCUCAGGACGAACGCUGGCGGCGUGCUUAACACAUGCAAGUCGAACGGAACACCCUUGACAGAGGUUUCGGCCAAUGAAGAGGAAUGUUUAGUGGCGGACUGGUGAGUAACGCGUGAGGAACCUGCCUUUCAGAGGGGGACAACAGUUGGAAACGACUGCUAAUACCGCAUAACACAUUCGGGUGGCAUCGCCUGAAUGUCAAAGAUUUAUCGCUGAAAGAUGGCCUCGCGUCUGAUUAGAUAGUUGGUGGGGUAACGGCCUACCAAGUCGACGAUCAGUAGCCGGACUGAGAGGUUGACCGGCCACAUUGGGACUGAGAUACGGCCCAGACUCCUACGGGAGGCAGCA